UGGAGGACAUGGAAGAACAAGUGGGUGUAUAUAUUGGGACGAGUGAAGGGAAGGUCAAUGCCUCACAGUGACAGCUCACAUCACUGUGACAGCUUCAAAUAAUUGUAUGAUAAAGAGAUAUUUGUCAUUGCGAAUCUAAACUGCAUUAAUUAUCAUUAUUAUUAUUUGUUAAAGUUGUGAUCCACCUUCAAUCUUUCAUUAAUAUUUCUAUCUCAUGAGAAGGAAGGUUAAUUAUGUUCAUCAUUGUGAUGAUUAGAUAUAUUAGAAGGCAUCACCGAUCACAUGUAUCGAUCCGAAUGUAUUAUUUUGUGUGCUAGCUAGUGGGCGUAUGAAUCCUCUCUCCUUUAGGUUCACCAUCUAUUCCCAUGCUCGCUCACAUCAUGUGAUGUGGUCGAAGCCUACCUAAAAGAAUGGUGGGCAAGCAAGCAACCUUGACGGCAUCUUCCAGGCUUUUCCAUAUUCUUCACUCGUUCAUUCCUCUCGGUUAUUCCUCCUUGAAUUAUUGAUGUUUGAAUCAAGUAGGACUGAUAUAAUUGUCGUUGAGAUCCACCAUAUCAUUUAUCACUGAGAGGACAGAUGGUCCAUCAUUUUCUUUUCUGAAGCUUUACUUGUUGGUGUUUGUUCAACCGCACUCUCCUGCAGCUGCCUCAGUUGGAGAACUGUUCUUCCACUACACAAUCAGUGAACUCUUCCCUGUCUGGAGCUAGCAGAAGUAAGCCAUGUUAGAUUACCAAGGCACCGACCCCAUGACAGCAAAAGGAACGGUGAGGAAGAGCCACAAAUCAUUGUUCUGCCCGAACUCACCUGAUGCCUCUCCUCCAUUCAACCCAAAAGCAAGUUCUUGUGGUGGUGUCCCUUUUUCUGGUUGCUUGAAUGAUGAUGGAGCUGCACAUUGUGUAAUGACAGCCACUGACACCCAUUCUGUCUCACCACUGGCCAAUCCCUUUAUUGAGUUGAACUCUCCAAAAGCCACCUCAUCGAUGAUGCUCACCACCAUACUGUCUAUCCAUGGUGAUAAAGAAGACUACCGAAGACUAAACGUCAAGGCAAGGCACCAACACAGAUGAAGGGUGAAGCAAGGCACUGUCUGAAGACUCCAUGACAAAGAAAGGGCAGAGCUAAAUAGGAAGAAGAUCACAAACAGCUAAAGGAAAAAGCAUGAUAGGCGUCUGCUUGUUGCCUUCCCUUUGUUCUUGUUCAUCUUGUACAAGUCAACUAUGGGGGACAACAAUCUGAAUUUAAAAUGUGAGAUGGCUGCCCA